rnacentral:lncRNA from 1 species
GAAAAUAACCUUUGUCUACCUCAUCCAGUUCAAUUGUGUGGGCGUAGGGAGUGAUGAUGUGAUACAGAGAGAAAUACAUUAUUUCACUUGUCUUUGGUAAAGCAAUUGGAAACUACAUGCUAUAUUGCCUCAGUGUCCAGUCAGCAGGUUCCUUGAAUUUGUUUAAGCAAUUAACCUGGAGUAAAGAAAGCAUUUAGCUUUAUAGCGUUACACACAGGAUGACUUAUUUGACAAAGCCUCAAAAGCAUUGCAAUAAUCAGCAUUCCCAGUAGAGACAAGAAUCAUAGAAUCAAAGAGUUGGAAGAGACCUCAUGGGCCAUCCAGUCCAACCCCCCUGCCAAGAAGCAGAAAAUCACAUUCAAAGCACCUCCAACAGAUGGCCAUCCAGCCUCUGCUUAAAAGCCUCUAAAUAAGGAGUCUUCACCACCCGCCGAGGCAGAGAGUUCCACUGCCGGACAGCUCUCACAGUGAAGAAGUUCUUCCUAAUGUUCAGGUGAAAUCUCUUUUCCUGAAGUUUAAAGCCAUUGUUCUGCGUCCUAGUCUCCAGGACAGCAGAAAACAAGCUUGCUCCCUCCUCCCUAUGACUUCCCCUCACAUAUUUAUACAUGGCCAUCAUGUCUCUUCUCAGCCUACUCUUCUGCAGGCUAAACAUGCCCAGCUCUUUCAGCCGCCCCUCAUACAGCUUGUUCUCUAGACCCUUAAUCAUUUUAGUCGCCCUCCCCUGGACACUUUCCAGCUUGUCAACAUCUCCCUUCAAUUGUGGUGCCCAGAAUUGGACACAGGUAUUCUAGGUGUGGUCUGACCAAGGCAGAAUAGAGGAAUAGCACGACUUCCCUGGAUCUAGACACUGUACUCGUAUUUAUGGAGGCCAAAAUCCCAUUGGCUUCUUUUGUCGCUGCAUCACAUUGUAGGCUCAUGUUUAACUUGUUGUCCACGAGGACUCCAAGAUCUUUUUCACAUAUACUCUUGUCUAGCCAGGUAUUCCCCAUUCUGUAUCUUUGCAUGUCCAGACAGAUUUGGUUGUGUACUUGUGGCAUCAAACAACAGGGUGCUGUUCCUGGGUUACACAUGGCUUUUCCUAUUAGCCACCUGUAUGACUUUGGCUCUCAGUAUUUACAUUCCUCUCCAGCACAUCCAUGUCCCAACAGCCAGUACUAAGUUUUUGCCAUUUAAUAAACUGUAUGCAUGUUGUCAGCAUACACCCAAUGAGCAACCACAUAUAUAAUGCGGCAAUCCAUCCUGUUGUUCCCGGCACAAGUACAUCAUGAAACCUGUCUGCACAGAUGGCCAUACAACAAGGUCUGACUAACUACAGUAAUGAUGACAUUCUAUUCCUGGUUUGAAAGUGUCUGUUCCUGUUUCAUUGUGUAUUACUUAAUGUGAAGAUACUUGUUGCCUAAAAGAACAAUGGGUUCCCCUAAAAUUGUGGAGACCAAAAUCCACUGCUAGUGGUAAUAUGAAAAUAACCAAACAAACUCAAUGUAUAUAUUACAAUAACAUAUAUCCAAAAAACAGGACUGUUCCAAUUGCAUAGAAGUAGAAACCAGCAGUUCUUCUCUCGAAGUACAAGGCCAGUACAAGAUACUUGUUGCACCACAGGAACUUCAUUUUUCUGCCAGAAACUUCAUUUACCAGGUGAAGGACAAAGUUCCUCUUCCCAGGGCAAAGUUUUUGCCUUCUACUCAAGUGUAACCUUCCUUUUAGGAACCAACCAAUCAGGAAUAAGAAUCUAAAAUCCAAGAACAAACCCAGAUAAAAAAUUCCAUGAUUUCCAAUUGUAGUGACAUACAGACAUGCAACUAUUCGGAUAUUCAGCUAAAAACCGCAAUAUUCCCGAACAUGGAAAUUUCACAUUAUUUGUCUUUUGUAGUCGUUGCUUCCGGGUUUACAGGGAAUAGUGUCUUGCCACCCUCCUGUUUGCUGCAGAAGCUCCUGGGAUAAAGGUACUGUCUGGACAGGCUCUGAAACUUAUAUCAAAAUCUUUCCUUAUAUUUCCUGAUGCAUUUUGUUGGUGAUAGCAAAUAUUGCAGACAGAGUCUGAGCUGGUGUUUACCAGAUACAACUAAAGGUUGACCUUGGCUUGGAUAAGAGGAUGAAAGAGGAAUAAUCUGGCUAAAUGAUGGAGUGUACAUUCCGCAUAUAGAAGGUCCUCUACAUUGUCAGGUAGUACUGAGAAAGACCUCUGUUUUCUACAUAAAAAGUUACUGUUCAACACCAACACUACAUGAACCAGUGAUCAAACUCUCUAGAUUUAUUUUUUAAUAUAAAAGUCGGACUUUAAUAGCACUAUACCACCAUGAGUAUAUCUAUGCUCACCUGGACUAGAGAGAUGGGUCGAAACUAACAAAAUGAAGUUCAACAGGGACAAAUGCAAGAUACUUCACUUCGGCAGAAAAAAUGGAAUGCAAAGAUACAGAAUGGGGGACGCCUGGCUCGAGAGCAGUACGUGUGAAAAGAUCUUGGAGUCC